rnacentral:rRNA from 1 species
AUUGAACGCUGGCGGCAGGCCUAACACAUGCAAGUCGAACGGUAACAGGAAGCAGCUUGCUGCUUCGCUGACGAGUGGCGGACGGGUGAGUAAUGUCUGGGAAACUGCCUGAUGGAGGGGGAUAACUACUGGAAACGGUAGCUAAUACCGCAUAAUGUCGCAAGACCAAAGAGGGGGACCUUCGGGCCUCUUGCCAUCGGAUGUGCCCAGAUGGGAUUAGCUUGUUGGUGGGGUAACGGCUCACCAAGGCGACGAUCCCUAGCUGGUCUGAGAGGAUGACCAGCCACACUGGAACUGAGACACGGUCCAGACUCCUACGGGAGGCAGCAGUGGGGAAUAUUGCACAAUGGGCGCAAGCCUGAUGCAGCCAUGCCGCGUGUAUGAAGAAGGCCUUCGGGUUGUAAAGUACUUUCAGCGGGGAGGAAGGGAGUAAAGUUAAUACCUUUGCUCAUUGACGUUACCCGCAGAAGAAGCACCGGCUAACUCCGUGCCAGCAGCCGCAGUAAUAC